rnacentral:rRNA from 1 species
ACGAACGCUGGCGGCGUGCUUAACACAUGCAAGUCGAACGAUGAUCCAGAGCUUGCUCUGGGGAUUAGUGGCGAACGGGUGAGUAACACGUGAGUAACCUGCCCUUGACUCUGGGAUAAGCGUUGGAAACGACGUCUAAUACCGGAUAUGACUCCCGUCGGCAUCGGCUGGGGGUGGAAAGAAUUUUGGUCAAGGAUGGACUCGCGGCCUAUCAGGUAGUUGGUGAGGUAACGGCUCACCAAGCCGACGACGGGUAGCCGGCCUGAGAGGGUGACCGGCCACACUGGGACUGAGACACGGCCCAGACUCCUACGGGAGGCAGCAGUGGGGAAUAUUGCACAAUGGGCGAAAGCCUGAUGCAGCAACGCCGCGUGAGGGACGACGGCCUUCGGGUUGUAAACCUCUUUUAGUAGGGAAGAAGGGAGCUUGCUCUUGACGGUACCUGCAGAAAAAGCACCGGCUAACUACGUGCCAGCCGCCGCAGUAAAAC